CUUGUUGUAGUUCAGCCUGGUUUAGAACGUCCCCCGUCACGGGGGAAGGUCGCGAGUUCAAAUCUCGUCGGCCCCG
rnacentral:tRNA from 1 species